rfam:Vibrio rumoiensis 1S-45 1S-45_contig_3, whole genome shotgun sequence.
UCUGUGAGUAGAAGCGGUUAGAUGAAUAGAAACAUCGGGACAUUGCUCACCAU